GAAUCGAGGAACUGUGGUUUAAUUCGAAGCAACGCGCAGAACCUUACCAGCCCUUGACAUCCCGGUCGCGGAUUACAGAGAUAGUUUUCGUUCAGUUCGGCUGGAUCGGAGCCGGGGGAUGCUUGGCUGACGUCAGCACCUGUCGUGAGAUGUUGGGUUAAGUCCCGCAACGAGCGCAACCCUCGCCCUUAGUUGCCAGCAUUUGGUUGGGCACUCUAAGGGGACUGCCGGUGAUAAGCCGAGAGGAAGGUGGGGAUGACGUCAAGUCCUCAUGGCCCUUACGGGCUGGGCUACACACGUGCUAC
rnacentral:rRNA from 1 species